rnacentral:rRNA from 1 species
UACGUAGGUGGCAAGCGUUGUCCGGCUUUACUGGGCGUAAAGAGCGCGCAGGCGGUCGUUCAAGUCGCGUGUGAAAGCCCCCGGCUCAACUGGGGAGGGUCACGCGAUACUGAUCGACUCGAAGGCAGGAGAGGGAAGUGGAAUUCCCGGUGUAGUGGUGAAAUGCGUAGAUAUCGGGAGGAACACCAGUGGCGAAGGCGACUUCCUGGCCUGUUCUUGACGCUGAGGCGCGAAAGCUAGGGGAGCAAACGGG